rnacentral:rRNA from 1 species
GACGAACGCUGGCGGCGUGCUUAACACAUGCAAGUCGAACGGAAAGGCCCUGCUUUUGUGGGGUGCUCGAGUGGCGAACGGGUGAGUAACACGUGAGUAACCUGCCCUUGACUUUGGGAUAGCUUCAGGAAACUGGGGCUAAUACCGGAUAGGAGCUCCUGCUGCAUGGUGGGGGUUGGAAAGUUUCGGCGGUUGGGGAUGGACUCGCGGCUUAUCAGCUUGUUGGUGGGGUAGUGGCUUACCAAGGCUUUGACGGGUAGCCGGCCUGAGAGGGUGACCGACCACAUUGGGACUGAGAUACGGCCCAGACUCCUACGGGAGGCAGCAGUGGGGAAUAUGGCACAAUGGGCGGAAGCCUGAUGCAGCAACGCCGCGUGCGGGAUGACGGCCUUCGGGUUGUAAACCGCUUUCGCCUGUGACGAAGCGUGAGUGACGGUAAUGGGUAAAGAAGCACCGGCUAACUACGUG